UACAGAGGGUGCAAGCGUUGUCCGGAAUUAUUGGGCGUAAAGAGCUCGUAGGCGGUGUGUCGCGUCGGCCGUGAAAACCUGGGGCUCAACUCUGGGCGUGCGGUCGAUACGGGCAUCACUUGAGUUCGGCAGGGGAGACUGGAAUUCCUGGUGUAGCGGUGAAAUGCGCAGAUAUCAGGAGGAACACCGGUGGCGAAGGCGGGUCUCUGGGCCGAUACUGACGCUGAGGAGCGAAAGCAUGGGUAGCGAACAGG
rnacentral:rRNA from 1 species